rnacentral:rRNA from 1 species
AUUGAACGCUGGCGGCAUGCCUUACACAUGCAAGUCGAACGGUAACAGGUCUUCGGAUGCUGACGAGUGGCGAACGGGUGAGUAAUACAUCGGAACGUGCCCGAUCGUGGGGGAUAACGAAGCGAAAGCUUUGCUAAUACCGCAUAAGAUCUACGGAUGAAAGCAGGGGACCGCAAGGCCUUGCGCGAACGGAGCGGCCGAUGGCAGAUUAGGUAGUUGGUGGGAUAAAAGCUUACCAAGCCGACGAUCUGUAGCUGGUCUGAGAGGACGACCAGCCACACUGGGACUGAGACACGGCCCAGACUCCUACGGGAGGCAGCAGUGGGGAAUUUUGGACAAUGGGCGAAAGCCUGAUCCAGCCAUGCCGCGUGCAGGAUGAAGGCCUUCGGGUUGUAAACUGCUUUUAUACGGAACGAAAAGACUCUGGUUAAUACCUGGGGUCCAUGACGGUACCGUAAGAAUAAGCACCGGCUAACUACGUG